UACGAACGCUGGCGGCGUGCUUAACACAUGCAAGUCGAACGGAAAGGCCCUGCUUUUGUGGGGUGCUCGAGUGGCGAACGGGUGAGUAACACGUGAGUAACCUGCCCUUGACUUUGGGAUAACUUCAGGAAACUGGGGCUAAUACCGGAUAGGAGCUCCUGCUGCAUGGUGGGGGUUGGAAAGUUUCGGCGGUUGGGGAUGGACUCGGGGCUUAUCAGCUUGUUGGUGGGGUAGUGGCUUACCAAGGCUUUGACGGGUAGCCGGCCUGAGAGGGUGACCGGCCACAUUGGGACUGAGAUACGGCCCAGACUCCUACGGGAGGCAGCAGUGGGGAAUAUUGCACAAUGGGCGGAAGCCUGAUGCAGCAACGCCGCGUGCGGGAUGACGGCCUUCGGGUUGUAAACCGCUUUCGCCUGUGACGAAGCGUGAGUGACGGUAAUGGGUAAAGAAGCACCGGCUAACUACGUGCCAGCAGCCGCCGUAACAC
rnacentral:rRNA from 1 species